UACGUAGGGGGCAAGCGUUGUCCGGAUUUAUUGGGCGUAAAGAGCGUGUAGGCGGCUUUACAGGUCCGUUGUGAAAACUCGAGGCUCAACCUCGAGACGCCGGUGGAAACCGUAAAGCUAGAGUCCGGAAGAGGAGAGUGGAAUUCCUGGUGUAGCGGUGAAAUGCGCAGAUAUCAGGAGGAACACCAAUUGCGAAGGCAGCUCGCUGGUACGUUACUGACGCUGAGACGCGAAAGCGUGGGGAGCAAACAGG
rnacentral:rRNA from 1 species